rnacentral:rRNA from 1 species
GACGAACCGUGCGAACGUUGUUCGGAUUCACUGGGCUUAAAGGGCGCGUAGGCGGAUGGUCAAGUCGGGGGUGAAAUCUUUCAGCUUAACUGGAAAAGUGACUCCGAUACUGAUCGUCUCGAGGGAGGUAGGGGCAUGUGGAACUUCCGGUGGAGCGGUGAAAUGCGUAGAUAUCGGAAGGAACGCCGGUGGCGAAAGCGACGUGCUGGACCUCUUCUGACGCUGAGGCGCGAAAGCUAGGGGAGCAAACGGG